GACUUCCAGGGAGGAGGGCCCCACACCCACCUUCCAGCACAGAUAACUGCUCUGAGAACUGCGCUCCGCCCCUGCUUCACCCCCAGGACUGGGCCCUGCAAUGAUCAGAUCCACCCAGCAGCCCCUCACCUGCCCCACCGGUCUCUGUCUGCAGCCACUGGCCACUUACAGCCUCUACUCCUGGUCAUUUCACGGCACUUUGGCUCCCCAAGACCAACCAGUCUGAAGGAAGCCUGGUUUCCAUAGAAACAGAUGGACUGCUGAGCUGUCCCCAGCAUGAAGACUAUGCCCGUGAGGGCUGGCUUAGGAAACCUGACUGGCCGGGGGAGUGGGGAAGAUGAGGGAGGGAAGAGGAAGGGGCCCAGAACAUCCAUCGGUGGCCAAGCCUCCCUGUGAGUCAAGGGGGAGUCACUGCUGCUGCGCACCUCAGCCAAGGAGCCACUGCCUUUCCAAACAAGAGCUUCUGUGAUGGGGCAGGCAGCACACCUGUUCCUCCACCCCUCAUAAGGAAGACUGCCCCCAGGGCCACCUACGCCGGGGCUGGGAGGAGCGGGGCAAGUACUUCAAGACCAUGAAUCCCCUGCAAUCCCCACCACAACCCUAUGAGAAUGGCCAUAUUAUCACCCCCAUCUUACACAUGAGAAAACAAAGGCUCAUGUGACUUAUUCGAGUGUCCCUUGAGAUCCUGAGCCAGUGGAGGGCGGAGCUGCAGCAUCCGUCUUCCUCAUCAUCUCAGCAUCACCACUGGACUCAGUGUCCAGGCUGCUGCAAAGAGUGAGGACAGAGCGGAACUGGCCGGGAGAGGCGGGCGCAGGAUGCGAGUCCCGUGGCAGUGGCAAACCCCGUCUCCAUGACACAGCUCUGCAGUUGAGAAAGGUUCCACGCCCCAUUUCCAAGAACCUCCAGGAACAUGUGCCCUGGGAUCUGGUAGUGGAAGGUUUGUCCUGGAGCUGGAAGGUGGCAGUGUGUCCUGAGUCACUGGGCUCGCAGACAGGACAGCUGAGGUCACAGGCAGAUUCUGCCAUCACUGGGGCUCAAUUUCCAGAAAGGCAGAGGAAAGCCCAACCUUUCAUCAGAAACAUUUCCAAAGCUUUAGGGACAAAUAUGAACAUUUCCCUACUGUGCUGAAGAGGGUGAGAGGUCAGGGCAGAGCAGGUGGCAAGAAGGAGGCAUUCCUGGGCUCCUCCCCCGGGGGUCUGAAGCUGCUGCUGUGGGCAAGGGGAUCAGGCCCUCUGAUGGCCUCCAUCACCGCUCAGAAGUCACUGGGAGGUUCUUCCUGUCUCGACGGUCAUUCACUUGGGCCGAACAUGAAGAAUUCCUGUGCUUUUCGACUCAGAGAAUAGGCCAGCCUGCCCCUUGGUCCAGUGACCAUGUCAGGGCCCUCAAGGGCAGCUGGUGUCAUCAUCAGGACAGCCUGACUUCCAGAUCCUAUGGGGCUAGGGGUCUGGUGAGAAUGCAGCAGGCACCUCCCUCUCCUCCCUGCCCCCAACUCUCCCCACGCCCCUCCCCUGCCCCGUGGCUGUUCAGGAACUUAGAGGGGAGGAGAAGAGGGUGGGAGAGGAAGGGAGAGGAAAGGAGAGGAGCUUCCUCGAAGGGAUGCUUCACAUUUUGAGCCCGUUUCUUCAAAAGCAAGUGAUGAUUUGUCUUCUGGGUGAGUUGGGGGAGGCAGGUGGAAGGGUCCCUGCCCUUUUUGCAGGAUAAAACGGGCCACAACCAUAGUCCAGGACUGAGUGUCUCCCCAAUCCUGGGGUGCUGGCUUAGUGGUUAAAGGACUAGCUCAUGACUUAAAAGGCUUGUGCUUCAUCCUGGCUCUACCACUUAUGAGCUGUAUGCCUUUGGGCCAGUGACUCUGCCUCCCUGGGCCUCAGUUUCCUCAUCCGUUAAAUGGGGUGUAAUAAUGACACCAACCUCUCACCAGUGAGAAGAUGCACAAAAAAACAUCCAGAACAGCGCCUGUUUUGUAGUUAAUGUUCAAUAAUAAUGCUGCUCAUUAUUUUUAGACUAGAAGACUCUACUUCCUUGCCUCAGUUGCCCCCUUGACCAAAUCUGCCUCAAAGCAGGUCCCCUUCUAGGGAUCAUGUGCCAGGUCAGAGUUGGGUGCUCAGAAGGGAGUAGUCAUAGGAAGGAAGUGAGAUGAGAGAGAGCAAGGGUCACUUUGGGGCAGGAGGACGAUGCUGUGCUGGCCCUGGGAGGGGUCCAGCCGGUGUAGCAGGAUAAACAGUGAGACGCAGGGUGCCGGGGAGGUAUCAUGGACCAGGAGUCAGAACAUCAGGCACCCCGCCCUGCAGCUGCCUCUCCUGGCCUGUGUGUCCUGGGGUGACUGAUAUACUGUCUCUGAGCCUCACUUUCCUCACCUGUGAAAUGGGAGGAAUUCAUCCCUUCUCAGUCACUCACUCUUCCUCAGCCCCUCACUCCCCGCUAGCUGCAGGGCAGGCACAUUCCAGCCUCAGGGCCUUUACAUGGGCUGUGCUCUAGCUGUCUAUACAGCUCACUCCCUCAUCUCCCUCAAGGUUGUAGCUCAAAAGUUACCUCCUCAGGGAGGCCUUCCUGACACCCUAUUUAAAAUGACAACCCAGUCCCUGGCCUCAAUACCCCCAACACAACCUUUCCCCUUCACCUCUCAGUACACUAUAUACUUUGCUUAUUGUUUUUAUUAGCUAAUUGCCUCCCCCUGCCCCCUGCUUUUAAGCAUCAGUUCCAUGAGGACAAAAAUUUUUAUUUUGUCCACAGCUGUCUCUCCAGUGCCUGAAACUGUCCCUGGCACUUUGCUCCAUAAGCCAUUUUUGGUGUAAUGCUCACAAACAUUUUGUUCAAUAAGCAAAAGUAAAGAACAGCCCCAAACUG